rnacentral:rRNA from 1 species
CCUACGGGAGGCAGCAGUGAGGAAUAUUGGUCAAUGGACGAGAGUCUGAACCAGCCAAGUAGCGUGAAGGAUGACUGCCCUAUGGGUUGUAAACUUCUUUUAUAAAGGAAUAAAACGAGGCACGUGUGCCUUUUUGCAUGUACUUUAUGAAUAAGGAUCGGCUAACUCCGUGCCAGCAGCCGCGGUAAUACGGAGGAUCCGAGCGUUGUCCGGAUUUGUUGGGUUUAAAGGGAGCGUAGAUGGGUUGUUAAGUCAGUUGUGAAAGUUUGCGGCUCAACCGUAAAAUUGCAAUUGAUACUGGCAGUCUUGAGUACAGUUGAGGUAGGCGGAAUUCGUGGUGUAGCGGUGAAAUGCUUAGAUAUCACGAAGAACCCCGAUUGCGAAGGCAGCUUACUAAACUGUGACUGACAUUGAUGCUCGAAAGUGUGGGUAUCAAACAGGAUUAGAACCCCUGUAGUC